UCAAAGAAGUGUGUGUGAGUGUGUCCUUCUGCUGUGUGCACAUUUCAGAGGUGGUGGUGCAAUAAUAGCCAGUUGCGGGCGGAGUGUGUGCAUGCCGCCGCUGGUUGUCUUCACUCCGGCUUCACUGUAGACAACACAGGCGGGUCUGUGUGUCCGUGCUUUCCGGAAGAUAGGGUGUGACACAUGGGACACAUCUUGGGUCAGCAGCUGAUCCUGCUUCUCGUUUGCACAGAAAGCAGCAUGGAAGCCUCUCUGCGGGUGUGUGUGUAUAAUCCGCUGUGAGAGGAGAGGAUCAAACAGGCGGGACAUCCCUGUCUCCGGAUCCCUUUCACUGGAACGCGCUCACACACGCCCGACCUUUCGUUUGGCUCCGGUGGGAGGGUGAGCAUUGUGACCGGAGGCCGGCCCAGGUCACGUUGAUGCUGGUGGGCGCUCCCCGGUACUGUCCCUGCCACCUGCUCCAGCGCUGCCCCCACCUCCCAGCCCACCCACCAUGGCUACGAGCAGUGACCCUGGCCGUGAGCGGCUGGACCCCGACUCUGACAAACAGACCAGCAGUCUCACCGACAUCAUGAGUGCCAUGACCACAAAAGACUCUGAUGGCUCUGCUACCAACGGCGUCAGGAAUGGCGUGGCUCAGCAGGAGGGGGCUCAUGCCAAGAGGACCCAUGCUUUGCGACCUUACUUGACCGGAAGGAAGUUGUCGCUGCAGGAGAGAGGCACCUAUAUGUCGUCAGGAGGAGGGUACACGCACAUUUCCCCUCGUGUGGCUCGCAGGCCCUGCGUGGAGUCCAAACGUGUGUCCAUAUCAGACGCCCAGGACUGUAUCCAGUUGAACCAGUAUAAGCUGAAGAGUGAGAUUGGAAAGGGCUCCUACGGUGUGGUUAAACUUGCCUACAAUGAGGAUGAUGACAAACAUUAUGCCAUGAAGCUGGUUUCCAAGAAGAAGUUAAUUAAGCAGUGUGGUUUUCCACGUCGCCCACCCCCAAGAGGACCCAAGGUGGCUCAAGGAGAGCAGCCCAAAAUCUUAGGACCCCUGGAGAGGGUCUACCAAGAGAUCGCCAUCCUCAAAAAACUGGACCAUGUCAACAUUGUGAAGCUGGUGGAGGUACUGGAUGAUCCGGCGGAGGACAACCUUCAUAUGGUGUUUGAGCUGAUGCCGAAAGGUCCAGUGAUGGAGGUUCCCUCAGAUACUCCUUUGUCAGAGGAGCAGGCGAGAUUAUACUUCAGAGAUGUCAUCCUGGGCAUGGAGUACCUGCACUACCAGAAGAUUGUCCACAGGGACAUCAAGCCCUCUAACUUGCUCCUGGGGGACGACGGCCACGUGAAGAUAGCGGAUUUUGGGGUCAGCAACCAGUUUGAAGGCAAUGAUGCCUUACUGUCCAGCACUGCUGGCACUCCUGCAUUUAUGGCCCCAGAGACCCUUUCAGACGCGCGAAAGAGCUUUAGUGGAAAAGCACUGGACGUGUGGGCCAUGGGAGUUACACUUUACUGUUUCGUUUUUGGAAAGUGCCCCUUUAUUGAUGAGUACAUAUUGGCUUUGCACAAUAAGAUAAGGACCAAGCUUGUGGAUUUCCAAGAAACACCAAAUAUCAGUGAAGAGCUGCGGACUCUGAUCCUGCGGAUGCUGGAUAAGAACCCGGACACCAGGAUUACCAUCCCUGAGAUCAAGCUGGACCAGUGGGUGACCCAGGGGGGCACUGACCCCUUGCCACUGGAGGAGGAGCACUGCUCCGUGGUGGAGGUGACGGAGGAGGACAUCCAGAACUCAGUCAAGUUUGUUCCCAGCCUCUCUGCAGUGAUUUUGGUGAGAGCCAUGCUGAGGAAGCGCUCCUUCAGUAACCCCUUCGAGUGUCCAAGCAGGAGAGAGGAGCGCUCUAUGUCUGCACCAGGCAGCCUGCUAAUGCCAAGGUUGCCCCUGUUCCGCUCCAGGCAGUCAGAGAGCUGCCUUCUCAGGUGAAGGUGCUUCCAGAGGACGUGGAGGGAGUUUUGAACAAUACUGCCCUCUGCUGGAGAAAAGGAGACGACAAAGCUUUGUACAUCUAAAGAUCACAGCAGCGUGAACAAAAAAUAUAGUCUGUACAUCAGCUCACAGUUUCUGAUCCAUACACAUUGUCACCAUGGAUUGUUGAUUAAACGUGGGCACUACAGUUGAAAAUCUUUAUCACCAUAAACCCUCCCCUUUCCGAAAUGCUUUCCUUAAAUAUGCAAAUGAUGCAGUAUUUCAUUUUUAUAAUUUGCACUCUUUCCACAAGAGUAAAUUGAACUCUGGAUGACGCCAGGUUGAAAAUUAAUGUUGUGUCGAUUCUUUUACAAAGGGAAUUUAAGAUAUAUCUUACCCAGCAAAACAUACAUUUCCCCCUAUAUAUAGAUAAUAUGUGAUAUAAAUCAGGCUUUCAAUGGUCCAUGAAAGAGCCUUUUUGUUAAAAUCUUCAGAAUAUUCAUGGUAAUGGCAAACGGGGAAGUUCGGAGAAAAUUGCCUAUAAAUAUAUAUUUGGGAACAUUUUAAGUUUAUAUAUGCAAAGAAAGAGAUUAUCUGAUACUAAAUUGGGAAUUAAGGGGAAAUAAAAAAUGCAAAAAACUAAAUUACUUGGAGAACUAUGUGUAUUUUGGAUUUCUCAAUUUAACUUCAUCACCUAUUUUACUUUCCUGAGCACUUUCAUUUUGAGACAUUAAUGUGAUCAUAAUGGACCAUAAACAACAACAUGGUCAGCCUCUGAGAGACUAAAAAGACACUUGACCUUAAAAACUCAUCUAAUGUUCAGCCCAUAAAACUUCAAUUGGUUCCAAAAUAAAGUGAAAGAGAAAAUAACAAAGCAGUUGAGUCCCAAUAUAUUUAUUUUAAAUUGGUAUAAAAUGAAAAAGAAGCAACUUAAGGUUGACCACGCCUUAGAACCUCUGAGGUGACCUUUGCCCUCUGAACUGUGACUCUCCCAUCUUUUCUCCCACUGUUGCAGGGACUCGUGGCCCUUCCGGCCCCCUUUAAAAAUGCACCCCUCCCUCAGAAAGGGCAGCACGGGAGAUGGACCCAGAGAAGGAGAGCUAGAGGACCUGCAUGAAGACGAGCCCUCCUCUUGAGUCUCUCAACAGUCUUAAACUCCAUCCCAACAUACAUCCCUCUGCUUGUUCACCGGCGUACUCUCCACUUUAAUCUGCUGAUUGACUCUAGUUCGCAUUCAGACUUGUUUGCUCGGGCUUGCUUUUGAUUUAGCUUAUUCCUUUUUCUUCCUGAUCUGCCCUUCUACAAUGUGGAGACUGGGCAUUUAGUUUGUUCUUCAAUGUCGCUUGUCUUAACUGCUCUCCCACUUCCUGUUGUGACUGGCAUCAGUGAACCGAUAGGGGGAACUCUGCAUCAUUACCAGCUGAUGUGGGGGAAAAAACUGUCAAAACACGUCUGCAUGGAUGAAGAGUUAAUGCGUCAUCGUCACACUGUCUAUAGCCAGCCUGACAAGGAGAAUAAUCCUCACAGCAUGUAAAUGGCAUUAGAUUGUCUCUUCAUUGAACUACAGGAUUGUUUUCUUUCUGAUAUUGUACAUAGAUGUCUUGAGGUAUCAUCAAUGUGUUGUCUCACAGCCCUUUUCUUGUUUUUAUGCCAUCGGUAGCUUUUAUUUUUGAGCUGGGUGAUGGAAUCCUUCCUGUGCUGCCUUCAAGGGCCCACCUUGUUGGAUUCCUCUGACAGGAAGUCAGCUGCCUACGGGUGAUCGCACAGAAAGGCCAGUGACUUGGCUAUGCUCCAACACAUUUAAAAGUUACUUUGGUCGCUGUGUUAUUUGAAACCUUUUCUGUUAGAAAUCAUUUCGCGCUUCCUUUUAAACUCCUUCGUGUCUGAUAAUUGUUCUCCUGCACCGUCUCUUUCCUUCCAUAUCCUGAUGUACUGUUUGAUCCAAUGUGAAGUCAUGGCGACAGAGGUCGGAGCACUUGGAAGUGUUGUUUGUUGUUUGAUGGUGAGUCAGAACAGACUGUAAUUUCCCUUUUUAAAAAUCCCAUUAUUGGAUUCAGAGCUUGUAUGAAGGCAUGCAUAAUCGUAUUGUCCAAGUUAAACAUCAAUGUGCGCUCUUACAGAAGAAAUUGAAUUAUUCAGGCUAAGGGACUGUGCACAAAUUAUUACUGAAGGAGAGGUCAGAAGUGGCAGGGUUUUUAUGUUUCCUUUUAGCUGAGGAAUGGUUAGUCUGAAUGUUUUGGAGAAAAGGAGAAGGGUCUUUUUAUUUUUCUAAUGUCCCACAUUAAUAAUUCAGUAUUCCCUUGCACAUGGCUCUCAAAGUCACAGCAGAUCAUAAAACUGUGCUGAGCUGUGAAAAAUGUUAUCAACAAAAAGUCAUAAUCUCCUUUACUUUCUUAUGCAUAGUAACACAAAUGUGUUAAACAAUUGUAGAUGUCAUAAAAUGUCAGCCUUUUUGUUGCCACACUUUUUGAAAUUAUUAAUUCCAUUUAUUGUGGAAAGAAUUUUUCCUUAAACACAGAGAUAUUAUUUAAACAUAUUUUAUAACAUAAUUGAUUACAUUUAAAUUAGGUUACAUCAAAUAGAAUUAUUGAGAAGUCAGAGCUAGGGUCCAAAUUAAAUGGUAAUUAAUGCUGGAAAGGGUUGUGCGAAUAAAAGAUCUCAGCGAUUUUUGCAAGGUCCCUAACUAGAUUUCCUGGAUAACAUGUUGAAGAUCAAACUAGCCAUAUGUGUGUCGAGCUGCGUUGGCAAUUGGUGGCAUAUGAAAUAUCAUUUAUUUGUGUGAUUGAAGUCCUUUGUUUGCCAUUAAGCAUGAUUGCCAAACUUCAAAAUAAGUCAAAUCUGUGGUCUGCAGUGUCUACGCUGUCUCAAAUCAACGAUAGAUCUCUUCCUCCUCCGUAGCUCUCCUUCAGAUAAUGUUUGUACAACUCCAUUCUGCUCUGGCCUGGGUCUGUGAAAGAGAGCGUGCUUGUCUGGCAGAGUGCUCUGAGCACUUGAACCGCAGUGAAAAGAGCAUUUCAAUGUCACGAUUAGACCCAGACUGCCAACAACAACACACUGCAUCCACUUCAGUGCCGUCCCCAGUGUGGCUGAUUAUAAACGGGGGUGGGUCGGGGGAAGUGCAGCGUUUUGCAUUUCCUUUAUUAAACUUGCCCUCAGUAUCCGCAGUAAAGGAUGCAUACUAAAGCACAGAGAGCAGAGAGGGGUUGGUAGAAAGUGUUGCACACAUUGAGCCUCUGUGUUUAGAGAUGUAUGCUCACACUGUCAGGAAAGUAAUGCACAAAGACCAUGGGUUCUUGGGAAUGUAAAGCUUUAUAUAUUUUUAUUUAAUUGUUCCGUAAAAAAAGUAUACGUGUUGAAUGUUGUAAAUGCUGAUUGACAUGAGGGCUUUUUUUAUUUCAUGUUUCCAGAGGACAGGUUAAGGAGGCCCUGAGAUCCUUUUGCAGUUAACCUUCAAUGAAGGACUGUUUGAACCAAAAAUAUUACAUUUGUAUGUCUUAAGGUGACGGUUUAUAACUUACAACAUUCUUUUGAGGUUUUCUUUAAGUCUCUUGGUGUCGCCAGCUUUACAUUUGUGUGUUUGUACUGACAGACUGCAUUGUUG